rnacentral:rRNA from 1 species
AUGGACGCCAAGGCUGUGGUGAAGAGCAACCCGCGGUGCCGUCACAUGGUGUCCUACGCCGACAUACACGCCCUCCGAAUCACCGCACGAGAAUUCCUCAUCCAGGUGGAACUGGGUGGGUACGGCGGGAGGAUCUCGACGAAGGACAGGGUCGUGUUGCCGCACUUCGACUUCAGCCUUGAUAACCUCGCCACCUUCUUCUCAACCUUAGGCCUCUCCCAGACGGACAUAAUCGCGCUGUUAGGUGGCCACACCAUGGGCGAUGUGGAUUGUGCCUUCUUCGAAUACAAGAUCGGCACUGACCUAAACAAGAACUCGAGUUUAGCCACACAUCUCCGUGGCACCUACGUCAACAAGCAGGGCUUCAAAGAUGUCCUAUGUGUCAUUCGAUCAAGCAUCGUCUUUUCCCCCAAGCCGUGUGGAUCCCUCUCUCGGCGGAUUUUGGUGACUUCUCGACUGCAUGCAUCGACAUUACUCUCAUGUUCUAGCAGCGGCAUCUUCAGUGCACCCUAG